CCCUUUGAAAUUAGAAUUAAGGUUAAUUGUUUUUCUUUUUUUUUCUUUUGAUUCUUCACCCAACAAUUUAAUUGAUCAAUUAUCGAUCAACCUAAUCAAAUAUUCAUUCGUUAAUUAUUCGGUGAUUCAUUUUUGUUUUGUUUUCUUUUUCUUCUUUUGUUUGAUUUCAUCUUCUUCAUAUGUAACAAUCAUCAAAAUUUUCGCUUCUCUAUUAAUUCAAUUGCUUCUGAUUAUUUAUUCCUUGGUGGUUAAAAUCAAUUAAUUAUUCUAAAGUUAAUGGAUAACCAGUUUGAUCGGUUAAUUGACAUGAAUUUGUUUGUUUUUCAUUUUCAAGGGCAACACAUCAGUUAACUCUCUCCACCAUUUUCGUAUACAUUGAGGAUCAUAACAUCAUCUCCAUCUUGUUUACCAUCACCAACCAGAAUCAACAAGCAUCAUAACAUUUAAAAUUUAAUGUCACCAAGAAGAUGGAACAACUGAACAAAUUAGCUAAUUUAAUGAUGACUAUUAACAUCAUUGAAUUGAUUAAGAAAAUAUGAAGAGAAAGUGAUUUAAAGGUUGUUGACAUUAUAUUACAAUUACCUUUUGAUUAUUAUCUUUACCAUUAUCAUCAUUGGAACUUGAAUUUUUUUCUUCUUCUUUCUCAAUAACUGAUCAUAAUGAUAUAUGUUCACAACUUGAUUUAGGUGAUACUUGAUUAUAUUAAUCAUAAUCAUUAUCAUUCUCAUUCUAAUGACUUGUUGAUUUGUUUACAUUUCAUUUUUCUUCCUUCUAUAUAUGUACAGUUAUCAUUCAAUUUGAUUUUCUUUUUCUGCUUAAAGGUUCUGAUUAUUGUCAUUGAACACUCAUCAUUAUAAUGAUCAUGUUAAUUUUCAUGUAAUCAGUUUCUAUCUUUUAUUAACCCAUCAUGUAAAUCAAUUUUAUAAUCAUCAUCAGCAUCAAGACACUAUUAGUUUAUUGUAUAUGAACAAUAUGCUGAUAAUGAUGAUGAUGAUUACUACUUAUUAAUAUAAUCAUCUUUCAUUGAUGAUUAGGUUGAUAUCA